rnacentral:rRNA from 1 species
AGAUGAGCUCGCGUCUGAUUAGCUAGUUGGUGGGGUAAAAGCGUACCAAGGCGACGAUCAGUAGCUGGUCUGAGAGGAUGAGCAGCCACACUGGGACUGAGACACGGCCCAGACUCCUACGGGAGGCAGCAGUGGGGAAUUUUCCGCAAUGGGCGAAAGCCUGACGGAGCAAGACCGCGUGGGGGAGGAAGGCUUUAGGGUUGUAAACCCCUUUUCUUUGGGAAGAAG